UCGCUACUACCGAUUGAACGUCUUAGUGAGUUCCAAGGAUCGAGGUAUUCUGGGCCUUUGGCACAGUCUACUCUUGAGAGCAGGUGCAAACUUGGUCGUUUAGAGGAAGUAA
rnacentral:rRNA from 1 species